rnacentral:rRNA from 1 species
GAUGAACGCUGGCGGCGUGCCUAAUACAUGCAAGUCGAGCGAACAGACGAGGAGCUUGCUCCUCUGACGUUAGCGGCGGACGGGUGAGUAACACGUGGAUAACCUACCUAUAAGACUGGGAUAACUUCGGGAAACCGGAGCUAAUACCGGAUAAUAUAUUGAACCGCAUGGUUCAAUAGUGAAAGACGGUUUUGCUGUCACUUAUAGAUGGAUCCGCGCCGCAUUAGCUAGUUGGUAAGGUAACGGCUUACCAAGGCAACGAUGGGUAGCCGACCUGAGAGGGUGAUCGGCCACACUGGAACUGAGAAACGGUCCAGACUCCGACGGGAGGCAGCAGUAGGGAAUCUUCCGCAAUGGGCGAAAGCCUGACGGAGCAAAGCCGCGGGAGGGAUGAAGGUCUUCGGAUCGUAAAACUCUGUUAUUAGGGAAGAACAAAAGUGUAAGUAACUAUGCCCGUCUUGACGGUACCUAAUCAGAAAGCCACGGCUAACUACGUG